AAUAUGUGGACAGGACCUUAAUCAGCAUCCUGGAAGUGGAAAGCACGGAAGGCCUGUGUCCCACAUCACAGACAGGUAAUGCGUUGCUCCUUAAGCAGGGGCCUGUUUGACGGAUAGUCCCAUCUAAUACUCACCGCACAUUUUAGCCUCAGAGCGAAACGUGCUGCGCACUCCGUCUGACUCGUCAGCCGAACAAACUCUCCUCUCUCUGCUUCUAGGUGCAGCGUGUAGCCAAAGCAGCACAGGGGGGGGGCCCCGUGGGGAGGAGGGGGCGGUGCAGCAGCGCACCCCUCCGGCUGUGGGUGUGCUGGGCGGCGACCCCCGGGAGGCUGCGCGGGAUGUGGAAGGGUCAUCCCAGCAUGCCCCGCAGCCGGUCACUGCUGAGAGGUGCCGGCACAUCGGUGAGAAGAACGUGUGCCCGGAGAAUUGCCCCGCCAUUGACCCAGAGGAGCCCGGUCUCUCUACAGAGUGUCACAAACACUCUGAUACACAGACAGAUAAAGCUUUGCAGUAUUCCCAUUUCGGGCCACAGGCUGAUAACAGUGGGCACCCAGGCAGGCCGGCGAGUGGGACAGAGUGGGUUGAUGUUGAAGCAGGCCGGGACCACGCGCUGCAGCCGGGAAGUACAGGUGGACUGGUGGUCAUCAGUGGCACAGACACGGGACAGGAUCUCCCGGAGAAUGAGAAAUUGGAAUAUAAACGUGAGUUUGGAACGGAGGAACAUGCCGGUGUACGUUCAUCAACAAACCUCCCCUCGGAAUCCUGCUCAACAGCCUCCCCUCUUACCCUCAGCCCAAAUAAAGAUACAGUCCCGCACCGCGCACAAGAAAGAGGAAUGGAUCGGCCGCGGACAACUCCGCCUACUCCGGCCAGCCAGGCCAGCCAUGUACCUCUGUCUCAAGUCAGCGAGAAACCAGGCCUUCCCCCAAAUGCUGAGCACCCUCCACCCCCGGGGCCCAUCACAGGCCAUAACGAUGGGACACAAACGGACGUCUCCACGGGACCUAAAAUCACUACGCAGGACUCGAGUGAUGGCAAGGGAGCAAUAUGUGGUGCUAGUGCAGAUGAGCGGGGACCACAGGAAACGGGAGGAUCUACAGGGAAGUGCGAGACCGGACGUGCCACGCACGGGAGUUCACACCCACCGACGCCGCUCCCAUCAACUAAAGUGUCAUGGACCCCUCAGGGGGGAGAGACACACCCCGGACUGGUCCCCUACACACCACCUGGCAGUGGAAAUUCCACCCCGAACUACUCAGCCGAGCGACAGGGAAGCGAGAGCGACCCCCAGAACAGUCCCCCACGUGCAGCAGUGGAACAGACGGAGACCAACAGGGCAGAGGUGGACCCUGAAGUUGCCGAUCUCUCGCCGGACCUUACGAUCCGGCCACAAAGCUCUCCUCGUCCGGAGAUGCCCAGCACGGCACCAACGGCGCCAGCCCCUGCCGUCUGCCACCUCCACAGGACAGAACUAGACUUAAUGCAGACAGACCAGCCUGUCCAAGUUCAGACUGCCGAUUCGGACACCCCACUGGCCUCUGAGCUCUCGAUCCCGGCGAUUGCUCACGGCGCCGUGGUGCUUGGCGGAGAGAGCGGCCUGGAGUUUUCAGAGGAGUUGCAAGUGAAUCAGUGUGUCUUCCUGAAAGAACAUGUUAGCGGGGACGCUGCUGUUGUUGAGUUGCACGCUGAUCUCUCUGCCGGAGAACCCAAGUCAUUUAUAGAAGGGACCCAUUCAGAAAUCGGAAUGGCUUCGCUGGCUGGGGCAGAAUUUGAGAUUUAUAGCUUUGUGGAGGAGGAGAUUGCGACAGAGGUUGUCGAAGACCGGCUGUCUCUCUCCCCGAGCUAUGAGGUAAACUUAUUCACCCCGGUCAUUGAACACUCCGAGAGUGAGGGACAACACAUACACGUAUUGUCUUCCCUGCAAAUGGCUAAUGACGACAGUCACGUCGUCUUGCAGCACGGCCCCCUUACGUCAGAUCACGGCCUCUUAGAAAUGGAGGUGUGCUCAAAUGACUUCACCCCAACCAUCUCCCCACACGACACGGGGAUGUCUGAUGAAGGGCAGAAUUUCCAGGCCGAAAACACAACUGCGGAAGUGUCCGCGGCGGAAGGGUCGGCUAAUAUCUGUUUGAUUCCGACUGUCCCCGUCUUGGAUACGCCACAUGUACGGACAAACGCCGCCACGGAAGCCACGACUCGGUGUCCGGAGGCCGUCCCGGACCACAGAAGGGUGGACGUCGCCGUGGCCGCCUCCUUCGGUGACGCACAAACGCUGCCAGGGCGGACUGGAACGGGAGUGACGGCCAGUACGUCUUCCCUGGUCGUCCCAAUGGCAGAAUUAACAGAGGAGCUUGUGGAGUCAACCGGUCAGCGCUGCGCAGAGGUCCUCUCAUCCCCGAACACCGUACAUCUGUUAGAGAGCGGCGUGAUGAACUGUCCUUCACUAGACCAGGCCCCGGGACUCUCCUUAGAAAAUACCACCAUAUCCGAGCCCUGUUCUUUGUCUGUUGACGGGUCCAGUGAUCCAGAGCCCUGUCCCGCUGCCAUAGAAAUGCCGAUGCAGAUCCAGCAGGACAUUGAUUGUGCCGUUACUGUGACGACAGCCAAGGACAGCCCAGGGGCUUCCCAGUGCGCACUCCCUCCCGGCAUCAUCGACCCAAGUCUUCUCCUCCUAAAGCCCGAGGACACGGCCCUCCUCAAACGCCCGCCCUCCUUCCUGUUGGGGACGACCAGACUGCCGAGCGACGGCCGGGCACAGACCGGCGUCAGCGGCUUGGACACAGCGCCUGCAAUGGAGUGCCUUCCCGAAGCCGCGCUGGGACCUGCGCCGGCGUGCGUCUCUGUCGACCGCCACGAAGAGCAGAGCAUGUCACGUGUGGACUUGGAGCCCGGCGCGACAUCGUCUUCUACGCUCACCACGAACACCGCGUUGCAGCGCCGUCUCUCUAACCCCGCGCCAUGCAGAUCCGACGACGAGGCCUUAACUCCGAUCAAAGCGUCCCCGGGGCCAGCGGGGACCGUUUUGCGAACCCUGGACCCUCCCGACGCCCCGCCUGAGCACUUCUCCGGCCACAUGUUGCCCUCAACCUCGGGCAGUGUGUCUAGGGGUAAGCUCUUCGGUUACUCCAGCGACGGUGGCCAGGCCGGGCCACCGCCGGUCAUCCGGCCACGGCUUGCCGGUGUGAAGGGCCCGGGGUUCGGCGGCCCCAAGGACGAGAGCAGUGAUGGAGAGGAUGACCUGGCAGAGGAGGACAAGGCCAGCCACCGAAGCAUGGGUUCCCCCGGUGGAGCGGAGAGCAAGGUACGCCAGUGGAUAGCUGACAGGGUCACGCCAAGUUCAUCUCCCGUGUCCCCUGGUCCUGACCCAUCCUCCUCCAGUGACUGGACCCCCAGCACCACUCCAAUCCCUCUCAGAGGCGCCCAUGGCAGGUUCCUCUCUCCUCCCACUACGGGCCCUGGGGGUUCCUCCCCGUCGGACCCGGUCACCCCCCAUCGCCCUCGAAUGGAGCGCCACGCCGACAUGGCCGAGCUGGCCAAACACGAAGCGGAGAUAGAGGGCAGGACCCUAGCACUGAAAAAGGAAGGAUUCUGGUCGAUGAAGCGACUGACCCGUUUGACGGAGCCAGUCCGAACCAAGGUGCACUGGGACUACCUGUGUGAGGAAAUGCAGUGGCUCUCGGCAGACUUUGCCCAGGAGAGAAGGUGGAAAAGAGGGGUCGCCAGGAAGGUGGUGCGGAUGGUGAUGCGUCACCACGAGGACCUGCGGCAGAAAGAGGAGAAGGCGAAGAGGGACGAGCACGCCAAAAUCAGACGGGUCGCCUCCAACAUUGCCAAGGAGGUGCGGGCCUUCUGGAGCAGCGUGGAGAAGGUGGUGCAGUACAAGCAGCAGUCCCGGCUGGAGGAGAAGCGGAAGAAGGCUCUGGACCUCCAGCUGGACUUCAUCGUGGGCCAGACGGAGAAAUACUCCGACCUCCUCAGCCAGGCCCUGGAAACGGCCCCGGCUGGGAUCAGUGAACCUGCGUCCUCACCGCACAGACGACAUCUUCCGCCUGCCGUGGAUGAGGAGGAUAGAGACUUUGAGCCUCCAUGUGGUGAGGAGGAGGAUGACGAGGAGACCAUCGAUGUGGAGGAGGCGCAGGAUGGCAAUGAUGCUGAGACCCAGAGGAGAGAGAUUGAGCUGCUAAGACAGGAGGGGACCAUGUCCCUGGCGGAGCUGCUGAGUACCCUCAAAAGGCCCCAGUCACAGGUGGGUCCCACCCUCAAAAGGCCCCAUUUGGUGGACACUGACUUUCCUCCUACCCAGGAUUCAGAAGAUGAGGAAGAGUGCUCAGACAACUCGUCUACGACGGUGGACGAAGACGAGGAGUUCACAGCCAACGAAGAAGAUGCGGAAGACGAGGAGGACACCAUUGCAGCCCAGGAGAUCGUGGAGGGGGAGGCCAAUCACGCCGACGAGCUGGACGACUUGGCCAAGGAAGGUGACAUGAGUAUGGAGGAGCUGCUGGAGAAGUAUAAAGGAGCAUACGCCUCUGAUUUCGAGGAGCCCUCAACAUCCGCCUCCCCCGCUAGCUCGGACCAGUCUGAAAACUCUGGAGAAGAAGAUGAGGAGGAGGAGGAGAGCGAGGAAGAUGAAAGUGACGUGGAAAGCAACACCAACUCCUCCUCUUCAGGCAAUGAAGAUAGUGAAGAGGAAGAGGUCAGUGAAAACGAGGAGGACAGUAAUGAAGACGAGUGUGACGAGGGGAUGGAGAUCUUGCUGAAGGAGGGGGACCACAGCCCCCCACUACCAGCCGGCCAGCGACCCAAGAAGGAGAUCAGCCACAUUGCCGCCACGGCAGAGAGCCUGCAGCCCAAAGGCUACACCCUGGCCACAACCAAGGUCAAAACUCCCAUUCCGUUCCUGCUGGUGGGCCAGCUGCGGGAGUACCAGCACAUUGGCCUGGACUGGCUGGUCACCAUGUACGAGAAGAAGCUCAACGGCAUCCUGGCUGACGAGAUGGGCCUGGGGAAGACCAUCCAGACCAUCGCCUUGCUCGCUCACCUGGCCUGUGAAAAGGGUAACUGGGGGCCUCACCUGAUCAUCGUGCCGACCAGUGUGAUGCUGAACUGGGAGAUGGAGCUGAAGCGUUGGUGUCCUGGAUUCAAAAUCCUCACUUACUACGGCAGUCAGAAGGAGAGGAAACUGAAGAGACAGGGAUGGACGAAGCCCAAUGCCUUCCACGUGUGCAUCACCUCAUACAAGCUGGUGCUCCAGGACCACCAGGCCUUUCGACGCAAGUCCUGGCGGUACCUGAUCCUGGACGAGGCCCAGAACAUCAAGAACUUCAAGUCCCAGCGCUGGCAGAGCCUGCUGAACUUCAACAGCCAGAGGCGGUUGCUCCUGACGGGCACCCCUCUACAGAACAGCCUGAUGGAGCUGUGGUCCCUCAUGCACUUCCUCAUGCCCCACGUCUUCCAGUCCCACCGGGAGUUCAAGGAGUGGUUCUCCAACCCGCUCACCGGCAUGAUCGAGGGCAGCCAGGAGUACAACGAGGGCCUGGUCAAGAGGCUGCACAAGGUGCUCCGGCCGUUCCUUCUGAGGAGAAUCAAGGCGGACGUGGAGAAGCAGAUGCCUAAGAAGUACGAGCAUGUGGUCCGUUGCCGUCUGUCCAAGAGACAGCGUUUCCUCUACGAUGACUUCAUGGCACAGGCCUCCACUCGGGAAACGCUGGCCAGCGGUCACUUCAUGUCUGUGAUCAACAUCUUGAUGCAGCUCCGUAAAGUGUGUAACCACCCCAACCUGUUUGACCCGCGGCCAAUCCACUCCCCCUUCAUCACCAAGCCCAUCAUAUUCCACACAGCCUCCCUGGUGCAGCAAGCCCUGGAGAUCUCUCCAUUUAAGCGCUGUGACCUGUCCAUGUUUGACCUGCUGGGUCUAGAGGGCAGGGUUUCCCGCUACCAGGCCGACGUCUUUCUGCCCCGCCGGAAGGUCACCCGCCGGCUGAUCCAGGAGGUCAUGGAGUCCCCCGAGCCCCCGCCCCGCCCCAAACCCGUCCGCAUGAAGGUGAACAGGAUGUUCCAGCCACUACCGAAGGCGGACAGUCGCACCAUGCUGGUGGUGAACAACCCCCGGCCCACGUGUCCCGUCACCCCUGCUGCCCAAGCCCUGAGGCCCCCUUCCAUCCAGGAGGUCACCACGACCCCCACACCUUCAUCGCCGGUCCAGCUAGCAGGACUCCGCUAUGUUCAGUAUUUCUGGUGGAGACCAGACACAGUGUGGCUGAAAUCCUGCCUUGUCUCGUUUCAUGAAACCUCAGCCGUGUGUUCGGUGGCCCCCACCGCCCCGCCGCGCCCGCCCACGCACCCCGGUGGCCCCUCGGUGGCGGGCACUGCCGCCCGGGCCGGCUCCCCGAUGCCGGUCGUGGCGGUGCGCCCGCCCACCUCCUCCGGCGCCCCCAGGCACCCCACCCCUCCUCCCAGCAACCUGAUGACCCAGAGAGUUCUGCUCAGCCCGGACAUGCAGGCCCGGCUUCCUUCCGGAGAGGUGGUGAGCAUCGCCCAGCUGGCGUCGCUGGCCGGUCGUCCCGUUUCGUCCUGCCAGGGCAGUAAGCCUGUCACCUUCCAGCUGCAGGGCAACAAACUCACCCUGUCUGGAACCCAGCUCCACCAGGUUCCUGUGGCCCCUGCGCGCCCGGUACAAGUGCCCUCAUCCAUGGUGACCGGCUCUGGAAUUGUGAAGAUCGUUGUGCGCCAGUCGAGCAAGGAAGGAGGGGGGGUUCCGACGCUGGCUGUGCCCCCUUCGCCCCGGCUCGCCCCACAGGCAUCACCCUCCACCCUCCACCACGCCAACCCCGCUUUGAGAACUCAUGCCCCCUUGCAGACAUCACAUCGCCACCCCGGACCCGCCACCGCUCAGUACACCCUGGCCCCGCCCAGAACUCCUACCUCAGUCACAAUUAGGACCUCCACCCCAGCGCCCCCUCGUACCUCCACUCCGGCGCCGCCUCGAAUCCCUACACCUGCCCCUUCACGAACCCCGGCCCCGCCUCGAAUCCCUACGCCGGCCCCCCCUCGUACGUCUACGCCGGCCCCCCCUCGUACGUCUACGCCAGCCCCUCCACGUAUUCCUACCUCAGCCCCUGGUCAGUCUCCGAACCCUCAACCUGUCCAGAAGGCAGAAAAGGGCCCAGCAGAGACCAGCCUGGAACAGAAAGGUGAGGAGAUGGGAUCCAAAUUAAAUAAAACGGGCCCUUUAUUUCCGGUCCUUAUAUUGAAUGUUAUUUUUUUUUUGUCCUCUCCAGCUCGUGUGAAUUCUUCGUCGUCGUCGUCCUCACGAGAGGACAGUAGUGAAACGAAGUCAUCAUGGCUGGCAGAGAGCCGCAAGAAGCAGCGAGAUGGACGGCUGACUCAGAUCGUCCAGAUCAACGACCUCCACUGCAGCGCCAGUCCGGUGUAUGGCUACGAGGUGCUGGACUUCCUCACUUUCCUCCCAGGCCUCUGUCCCACUCCGGCCCGCCAGGCCCUGGGUCACUGGGGCAGCUCGGGCCACGCCGCCUGCCUGUUCGCCCAGUUUACAUUUGUGAUCCCGCCGGUGGAGGCUCCGCCCAUCACCCUGCACACCUGUCACCCUCCCCCGUCUCUGAGCCACCAGCAGGCCAUGUUCACCUCGGGUCUCUCCGCCCUGGUGGCUCCGCUAACCCGCAGUCUGCACCGCAUCCAGUGCAACAUGAGGACCCACUUCCCCGACCUGAGGCUCAUCCAGUACGACUGCGGUAAGCUGCAGACCCUCCACACUCUGUUGCGGCGGCUGAAGGAGGGUCAACACAGGGUGCUCAUCUUCACCCAGAUGACCCGCAUGCUGGACGUGCUGGAGCAGUUCCUCAACUACCACGGACACAUCUACCUCCGCCUGGACGGCAGCACCCGCAUCGAGCAGAGACAGUCCUUGAUGGAUCGUUUCAACGCCGAUCGACGAAUCUUCUGCUUCAUCCUGUCCACGCGUAGCGGAGGCGUGGGCGUGAACCUGACGGGCGCCGACACGGUGGUGUUCUACGACAGUGACUGGAACCCGACCAUGGACGCCCAGGCCCAGGAUCGCUGCCACCGCAUCGGACAGACCCGCGACGUUCACAUCUACAGGUUGAUCAGUGAGCGCACGGUUGAGGAAAACAUUCUGAAGAAGGCCAACCAGAAGAGGAUGCUGGGAGACAUGGCCAUUGAAGGAGGCAACUUCACCACUGCCUUCUUCAAACAGCAAACCAUCAGGGAGCUAUUUGACGUGACGGAGGGGGAGAAGAAGGAGGCCGUGGUGGAGCUCACCGUACCCCAGCCUGAAGAAGAAGAGGCAGUCAAUAAACAGAGCACCACCAUCCUGGAGCAGGCCCUGUGUCGCGCAGAGGACGAGGAGGACAUAGUCGCGGCCUCCCAAGCCAAAGCGGAGCAGGUAGCUGAGCUGGCCGAGUUCAACGAGGCCAUCCCGUUGGAUGAAGCCGGUGAAGGGAGGGACCCGGAAGAGGAGGAGCUUUCCAAGGCUGAGCAGGAGAUAGCAGCUCUGGUGGAGCAGCUUACUCCUAUAGAGCGCUAUGCUAUGAACUUCCUGGAGGCCUCGCUGGAAGAUGUGUGCAAGGAGGAAUUGAAGCAAGCAGAGGUAAGAUUCAUGCUUCUUAGUGUUUUUUGGAGAAAAGGCGCUCCCUCCACCAGGACCAGUGGCAGGCUCAGGGGGACCAUGGCCACCUCUCCAGAGCCGGAGCCAGACAGAGAAGUGCCCGACAGACUCCGUCCGGCUCCAAGGGCACGAGGGGGGACCAAAGACACCACCACCACUCCAUCCCGCACGGAGCAUCUCAGGCCACACGCCAAAACUGCAGAGACAUCUCCUGCCUCUCCUUCUAGAGACUUGGCAGUGCUGCCUCACCGCAACAAGGCCCACUCCAGCUCAGUGCCUUCCACUGCCACCAGUCCUCCAACUGGGAAACCGGAGAUGGUGGAGUCUGAUACACGGUCAGACCAGGAGUCCCUGUUGCCCCCCUCUGUGUGCUCCCGGUCGCCGCGCAAGCGCCAGUCUGCCGAUGGUGAGGUCCUGCUGGGCCUUCCGGAACAUUCCCCGUCGGCCAAGGUCCUGCGGAAGCUCCCUGGUCGCCUGGUUACGGUGGUGGAGGAAAAGGAGCCCAGGAAGAGGAGGAGAAGAGGCAGCGGAACGGGAGGAGGCUCAUCCGAGGAGAUGGAGCAUGCAGAGUCGGGCCGAGACUCUACACCCCUGACCCCUGAC
ensembl:lncRNA